rnacentral:rRNA from 1 species
GACGAACGCUGGCGGCGUACUUAACACAUGCAAGUCGAACGGAAAGGCCCUGCUUUUGUGGGGUGCUCGAGUGGCGAACGGGUGAGUAACACGUGAGUAACCUGCCCUUGACUUUGGGAUAACUUCAGGAAACUGGGGCUAAUACCGGAUAGGAGCUCCUGCUGCAUGGUGGGGGUUGGAAAGUUUCGGCGGUUGGGGAUGGACUCGCGGCUUAUCAGCUUGUUGGUGGGGUAGUGGCUUACCAAGGCUUUGACGGGUAGCCGGCCUGAGAGGGUGACCGGCCACAUUGGGACUGAGAUACGGCCCAGACUCCUACGGGAGGCAGCAGUGGGGAAUAUUGCACAAUGGGCGGAAGCCUGAUGCAGCAACGCCGCGUGCGGGAUGACGGCCUUCGGGUUGUAAACCGCUUUCGCCUGUGACGAAGCGUGAGUGACGGUAAUGAGUAAAGAAGCACCGGCUAACUACGUG